UCCUUCGUGGCGCAAUUGGCUAGCGCGUUCGACUGUUAAUCGAGAGGUUGGUGGUUCGAUCCCACCCGAAGGAG
rnacentral:tRNA from 1 species